AAAAAAUUUAAUUUAUUUUUUAAAAAAAUUUGUUGAUUCAAAAAAUAUAAACCUACGAAAUGCAACUAUUCUUUUGUUACAAAUUUUGUGUAAAAACUUUGGUGAUAAAUAUGUAAUGUCUUAUUUAGAAGGUAUUGCUGAAAACAUAAGACAAAUUAUUAAAUUAAAAGAUGACGUCGAUAAGUUCAUUUUAAAACAAAAAGCAAAUCCUUUAUCUAUGUCUAAACCCCGUGACCCUGGUAUUAAUUCCAAAUUUAAUAACACUCCUAGUCGAAGUCAGAGUACUAUUCCUACUACUAUACAAACAAAAACUGGUGAUACAAGUAUAAAAAAAAAUAACAACAUUACAACUUCGAUGCCUGGUCAAAAUAAGUACAACCUAGAUAAUGAAAAUCAUAAUAAAUAUAACAAUACUAGUAACAUGAUUGACAGUACAUAUGGUAAUGUUAGUGCGCAUUUGGGUAAGGGUAAUAAUAAUAAUAAUAGUAGUAGUAGUAGUAGUAGUAGUAGUAGUAGUAGUAGUGGUAGUAGUAAUAAUAAUAAUAAUAAUAAUAAUAAUAAUAAUAACCGUAAUAGAAAAAUGUCAUACGAUAAUAAUGAUGAAAACAAACACAAUCGUCACUUGAUGUUGUCCGAAAACAAAAAAAAUUACAGUAACACACUCGAAGUUGAUUAUACAAACACAAAUUCAAAUUAUAACAACUUAGAAGUAAACACGAUAGAUGAUAAAAAAACUCAAAUAAAAGAAAUUACAAAAAGGAAUGAAAAAAACAAAGAUGAAAGUGAUAACGAAAGUGAAGACGAAGACGAAAAAAUGGUAAAGGUUGCCCAUUUUAUCGAAGAACAUGUAAAUAUAAUUAUGGCAGCUAAUAAUAAUAAUAACAAUAAUACAAUGUCGUUUAACAAAGGAAUAAACAAUGCAACUGAAAUUAAAAACAUUACAAAUAAUAUUUCAAACAUAAUUAAUAUAAUUGAAAAAAUAGGAAAAUAUUAUAUAAGCCCAGAUAAUUUACACAUACUAAUUAAUAAUAAUACAUUAUCUAUCAUAUAUAAUAGUAAUAAAAAUAAAUGUGUUCAACUUAUAUAUAUACUAUUAUUCUCUUUAAGGGGAAAUACGUGUAUAUAUGCAGACGUACUGUUCGAAUUUGUUAUUAAAUUAAUUGAUGACCAUGAAAUACCUAUUGAACAAAUUAAUAGGCUUUUGACAUGCAUGUGUAAAAAUAUAGGCAUAUCAAAAUAUAUAAGUCAUAUAAAAAGUUAUAUUAUGCACGAAAAAAUGAAUACGAUGAAUAAGAGUGAUGUAGGUAUUGAUGAUGGGACUGGUGUAACAAACAACAGCAAAAGUAACAGCAAAAGUAACAACAAAAGCAACAACAAAAGCAACAGCAAAAGCAACAAUGACAACUUCAAUUUCAAAGAUUAUAAUAAUAGUAAACAAGCAGGAACUAACAAACGAAACAAAGUGGUAAUAGUAUUAAAUAAUAUUAACACAAGUCACAUAUUAUUACUCAAUGAAAGUGUGUUAAAAAAAAAAAUACUUCCUUUUUAUUUAGAUUUAUUUCUAGAUGAUAGUGAAGAAAUAAGAGAAAAAUCAAGUCUGGUUUUGGAUAAUAUAUACUUAAAAAUAGGAGGUGAUAUAUUUUUGACUCUGUUUGAAAAAUUAUCUGUACAUAAAAAAGAAUGUUUACUUGAUAUUUUUAAUCAAAUAAAAACAAAUCAGAAUUUUUCUUUUUAUAAAAUUUUAGCACAAAAUAAUACACAACUCAAACGACUAUCAAACAACGAAGAAAUUAAAAAUGGUAAUGGAAAUAACAGCACACAACAAAUGAAUAUAACGUCUACCAUACCUACUACACCUUCAACUUACAUUACAAAAAAUACCAAACGAUUAAGUUCUUAUAGCAAAAAUAAAACAUUAAAAAUUGAAUUCCCUGUACAAUAUAAAAUCAAACCGGAUAAAUUAAAAUGGGAUAAAACUAUGGACCAAACACAUUUGAACUACUUAAUGAAGGAGUUCAAGUCGUUUAGUAGCCCAGAGUUAGUUCAGCACAUGUUUAGUGAUAAUGCCAAUCUAAUUAACAAGUAGGUUUUACUCACAACGGCUUUUUAUACGUACUUAC
rnacentral:lncRNA from 1 species